AGAAAAAGAAAAAAAGGAAACGCAGAGAUGCACUCCGACCAAACCAAUUGGCUAGUGUCUGUUUUUUUUGUGUUUUUUUUUU
rnacentral:ribozyme from 13 species